rnacentral:rRNA from 1 species
CGGCGUGCCUAAUACAUGCAAGUCGAGCGAACGGACGAGAAGCUUGCUUCUCUGAUGUUAGCGGCGGACGGGUGAGUAACACGUGGAUAACCUACCUAUAAGACUGGGAUAACUUCGGGAAACCGGAGCUAAUACCGGAUAAUAUUUUGAACCGCAUGGUUCAAAAGUGAAAGACGGUCUUGCUGUCACUUAUAGAUGGAUCCGCGCUGCAUUAGCUAGUUGGUAAGGUAACGGCUUACCAAGGCAACGAUGCAUAGCCGACCUGAGAGGGUGAUCGGCCACACUGGAACUGAGACACGGUCCAGACUCCUACGGGAGGCAGCAGUAGGGAAUCUUCCGCAAUGGGCGAAAGCCUGACGGAGCAACGCCGCGUGAGUGAUGAAGGUCUUCGGAUCGUAAAACUCUGUUAUUAGGGAAGAACAUAUGUGUAAGUAACUGUGCACAUCUUGACGGUACCUAAUCAGAAAGCCACGGCUAACUACGUGCCAGCAGCCGCGGUAAUACGUAGGUGGCAAGCGUUAUCCGGAAUUAUUGGGCGUAAAGCGCGCGUAGGCGGUUUUUUAAGUCUGAUGUGAAAGCCCACGGCUCAACCGUGGAGGGUCAUUGGAAACUGGAAAACUUGAGUGCAGAAGAGGAAAGUGGAAUUCCAUGUGUAGCGGUGAAAUGCGCAGAGAUAUGGAGGAACACCAGUGGCGAAGGCGACUUUCUGGUCUGUAACUGACGCUGAUGUGCGAAAGCGUGGGGAUCAAACAGGAUUAGAUACCCUGGUAGUCCACGCCGUAAACGAUGAGUGCUAAGUGUUAGGGGGUUUCCGCCCCUUAGUGCUGCAGCUAACGCAUUAAGCACUCCGCCUGGGGAGUACGACCGCAAGGUUGAAACUCAAAGGAAUUGACGGGGACCCGCACAAGCGGUGGAGCAUGUGGUUUAAUUCGAAGCAACGCGAAGAACCUUACCAAAUCUUGACAUCCUUUGACAACUCUAGAGAUAGAGCCUUCCCCUUCGGGGGACAAAGUGACAGGUGGUGCAUGGUUGUCGUCAGCUCGUGUCGUGAGAUGUUGGGUUAAGUCCCGCAACGAGCGCAACCCUUAAGCUUAGUUGCCAUCAUUAAGUUGGGCACUCUAAGUUGACUGCCGGUGACAAACCGGAGGAAGGUGGGGAUGACGUCAAAUCAUCAUGCCCCUUAUGAUUUGGGCUACACACGUGCUACAAUGGACAAUACAAAGGGCAGCGAAACCGCGAGGUCAAGCAAAUCCCAUAAAGUUGUUCUCAGUUCGGAUUGUAGUCUGCAACUCGACUACAUGAAGCUGGAAUCGCUAGUAAUCGUAGAUCAGCAUGCUACGGUGAAUACGUUCCCGGGUCUUGUACACACCGCCCGUCACACCACGAGAGUUUGUAACACCCGAAGCCGGUGGAGUAACCUUUUAGGAGCUAGCCGUCGAAGGUGGGACAAAUGAUUGGGGUGAAGUCGUAACAAGGUAGCCGUAUCGGAAGGUGCGGCUG